CGUUUUUACUGUGCCGAGAUAAAAAAGAAACAAAGUGUGGGAACGGAAAAGCUCAUCGAGCCCCACGCGCCACCUCCACCCAUCAGGAUGUUUCCUUCCCAACGAAGGCAGCUCCGCACAACACGCUUCCUCCCCACGCCGCCAAUCCCAUCUCCGCUCGCCUCCUCCUCUCCCGGGUCCCUUUGCCGCUGGCUCAACCGCUUCUCCUUCUCUUUCUCCUCCCCGCUUCUCUCCUCCUAGCCGAGUCCUCGACUAGACGGGCGUCCGGCGCAUGAGGCUCGGGGUGGUCGUGGCGGCGGCAUCUUCAGAAGUAUCGCCGGACGGGCUCCACACGCCGGGAAGAUAUCUCCAUGGGCCCGCGCCACCUGUCCCUCGACGACGUCAACCUCGCCAUAUAAGAGGUCUAGCCCGCCCGUGCCGCCGGUCAAGUUGCACUCGGGGUGGUCAAUCUGUGGAAGAAGACAAGAGAGGAGUGGAGAAGGUCGUGUACAGGGGUAGGAGGCGGGGAUCAGGUAGGAAGACAGCUUGGCCAGACCGGCGACACCCCGGCCGCGGCUUCUGUCGGGCGCCAUCCCCUUCUUCUUACACCUACCCUUGAAUCGAACAGGCAAGAUAGGUGUCCUGAAAUAUGAUAUUUUCUCUAUUGGGCCUUAUCCCUUUCAUUGUUCCCACUAUUCAGGAAGUAGUAUGGAUGUCUUUUGCUUAGCUUGCUUUUCAGAUCAUUCUAUUGGGUUGCAGCUUGUAGGGUGGAACCAUAAUUUGUCAUGGUUGCUUCUAAGUUUUGGUUGGUCGAUUUGCUGAUGUCUUCGGCCUAUGUGUCCAGGUUAAAGUUCAAUCCUGCAUAAUUGUCAGUUUGCGAAGUCUACCCAAAACUCUGAGAUUGCCCAUAAUAGAUGUAAGAAGUGCGUAAUUGCUUGAUGGAUCUGUUAGUUUGACAGUUUUUUUGAGCGUUGCACCUUUCUCUCCUACAAAUUGCAGAUGUGCUCACAGUUUUGUGUGUUCAGUUUAGGAGUUGGUGCUUGGGAAGCACAAAUAAAACAUUAUUGGCAAGUACAGUUUUGUUACUCCCAGGUAUCUACAAUUGAGUAGAUGAAGGAGUAUUUGUUACCAGGAGGAAUUAUAAUGUCUUUCAAACUGAUGUUGUUCUCAUGAUCUUGCCUUUUCAUUGUCUGAUAUCACCCAAAAUUUGGCAUGGAAACUACAGAGGUACUAUGUACUGUUGUUGUAUUAGUUCUGCCGGAUUCAGAGGUGUAUAAAUGUGCAUUAGUUCUUCCGGAUUCAAAUGAUACUAUGUACUGAUAUAUAUAUAUUCUGAAGAUGAACUUAAGUGUAUCAUAUAUACUCUUUAUUUUUUGACACAUUCCCAUUCUGUUAAUCCCCCCAAAUACCAUGCUAUAUAUCUUAUGAGAUAUCGAAUAGCGAUACCAGUGUUCUAUGCUGCUGUCAUUUCAGUCUGCAUAGUCAUUAUCAAAAUUGGUGUUGCCAUAUCAUUACUACUUUGGCUAAUUCAACGAUCCACUUCCAAGUUCUUUGGUGUCGAGCUGAGCAUGUGGUUAUCUUACAUCUUGGUAUGUCCAUAGGAUACGGUCAUCCUGAUACUCGAUGCGUUGUACCAUGACCGUGACUAUGCCAAGUUCUUCGUGCUUGAGACCAUAGCCAGGGUGCAGUAUUUCGGUGAGCGUCUUGUCUUAUUCACAGAAUAUGUGGUUUUGACAUGGUAGUGUAUCUGCUGUUUUGUUGACUGAUUGACAUGGUAGUUUGCUGAAUUUUGUCGUCUUCACCUAUUUUGAACAGCAUACAGAAGCAGCAGGAUCUUCCUUCAUAUCCUUUAUUGUAGAUCACAUAUUCCUUUGCAUUAAAGAUGCUGGUAAGGAGUAGCAACCAAUCAACUUUGAGUAUGCUAUUUGUAGACAUCUAUACUGACUUCUUCAUUAAACUUUUAUUUGCGUCGAUAGAGUUUCAGCUUGAACUUCUAAAGCAGUCACUGUUCUUCUCAUGGAAUUUGUUUUGCUUGUCAAUCUAUUGAGUGUUGUAUGCUUGGCUGAUUACAUCAUCAUUCAAGCUUUCUUGUGAGAGAUUUUUUUUUGUAUUGUAGUCACCUACUGACAUGAUGACAACUGUUUUCUGGUGGUUUCCAGGUGGUGCUGAAGUCGGCUAGGAGGGGCAGUGCCGCGACGAUGAGGAAGCCGUCGGGGACAAGGCCCGGGGCGGCAAAGCGAGCCCAAGUAAGCUGCUGCCGGCCACCUUCCAGAAAAUUACAGUACCUAUAAAAGUUCAGAGAUGAGCUUAUCUCCUCACACAUAUCCUACUGGGAGCUUGCCUAUUGGAUAAGUGCCUAAAUCUUUGCCACCAUUUGAGCACCCAAGCCAUCAAUUUCUAGAGAAAAAAGAAUUCCAGCAACAAAGGUUCAUUUCUAAACAACUUGUGGUAUGCUUGCAAGUUCUAAUUUCCUUCAAAUGAUUAGAUAUCAAUGCCAUCCAUUCCUUUGUUUCAUCCUAAGCUUGACAUGGUGAUGCCAUUUUUCUUUGUUUAUGAAGGUACAAUAAGUUCAAGAAUAAAUGCAUUGAUGAGCGUAAGUAGUUCAGAAUCGAUUUGAGUGAGGUGCAGCUUCCUCUCAUAUUCUCUUGUCGUGGCAACUUUAUAACUGUUUGUUGAAGAAAAGUAGUUUACAACUAAAGUAGUGUAUAAAGUCAGUCAAGUUUAACUAUUAUGAUCUACUAUAAUCAUUGCUCUUUAACUUCCAGCUACUGGAAUCUUAAAAGUGAGGUUGCUUUCCAACUACAAUUGUAUAAUUUGUAAGUAAUUAUCAUGUCUGAGAAGGGUGAUCAAUCCCUCCUUUUGGAGACAUUUGGAUUUUUUCCACUUUGUUCAUGGGGCUUCGCAGAUUUGCCACUUUGGAGAAUUGAUUCGCAUAAAUGCCACUUAAGUCGUGGAGUCCUUGAUUAGUAUGCCAUUAGCUCCACUUUUAUUCAUUUUAAUUAAUUUUUUCACAUUAUCGGGCUAGUCAAAGACUAACUUACCCCUGUGGCUAUCUACACGUACACACAUCUGGCAUCGAAUCAGCACCUGAACCAUCAAAGCGGGCGCUGCAUGCUGAUAAUAUCGCGUGUGCCAUACCGUCAGUUGACUGGAUGCCAUGCUUCGGCGGUUCUGACGCCGCCGAUCCCCUGGAUGCCUCUUGCCACCGGCUGGACGUCAUGCGCUGCCGAUUGCCUGCAGGCCACGCGCCGUGGAUCGUUCGGUACAGCGGCGGCGGCAUAAACACCACAAAGUCUGCCCCAGGCAGUCGUCCAGAGAACUCUUGCCGGCCGACGGCAGCUCCUCCACGACCACCUCCCUCUCGUCCUCCCAUCCUCCCGUGACAUGCCCUACCUCCUCCUUAUGCCAAGUGACUGAACAACGACCAGGACGGGCGGCGUGAGUGGUGCCCACAGAUGGUGGUCUGGUGGAACGAGCAGUGUGCGGCUGAGUGGCACGAGCGGCGACUGGAGGCGUCAGCGGGCGCUCUGUCUGGCGACGAGAAAUUUUUGUGGCUCCUUUCACCCUGUCAAACUUAGAUCGAUAGCCAGAUACAAAUACUUAGCACGUGUACUUAGCAUCAGGGGUAGUUUGGUCUUUUCUAAUGCCUAUAAAUGAGGAAAGAAGAAAGAAAUCAAUAAAAGGAGGCAAAUGGCAUGACAAUCAAGGAGUCAAUGUCAUGAGUGGCAAUUUUACGAAGCCAAUCUUGAAAAUGGCAAUUUUGAGAAGCCCGAUAUUGAAAGUAGCAAAUAUGUGAUUUUCUCAUCCGUUUUGGCUACAUGAUGGUAUGAUCCUUUUUUAGUGGAUUUCUUACAUGCCGUCAUGACUUGUUUCACUCAGUUUUAUGUUGAGUGAUCGAGUGUGUAGUGUACUCAUGGUAUCCUGCACUUUAUGUAAUCCUAUAAAGAUAGGAUUCAUAGUGUUUUUGGAAGGUUGGCUGGUCUUUGGGGUCCCUAAGAAAUGCGCUUGAACGCUGAUCGAUCGGGCGAUAGCGGCGAAGGAAAAAGCAAAAGCACUGCUGUAGUUAAACACUCGAGCUGCAGAUGCAUGUGAUACAUUAUACGGGGGAGGCGACGUUUUUAUGGCUUGGUUUGGUAGGAUUCAAAUGACACUUCUUAGGAAAGACUGCUCUGAUGUAAUUAAGUUUCACCUUCUUAAGUCUGGCUACAUUAAACCAUCAAACUAUAUAUAGAAAAUAAAUGUAUUCUUAUCAUGUAUCCCCUGGAAUCCACAUAACAAGAACAGGAUAUUAAUUGGAUGCUAUGCACUGGACAUUGCGGCACGAUGAUUGGUUCCUUGAUGAAGAUACAAAGGUAUUCUGUUUCUUCAGGUAUUACACAUUUAUGUGGAUCCAGUUUGUUGUAUUUGGAUAUCUCAUCAUGUCCAUUUUUCAUUGUUGUAAUUUCUCCGUUCUAUAAUGUACUACGCAUGUCCUGUCUGUUUGUAAUGCGCUGGCCCAUAUUCUUGCCAUCUAUUCUUAAUCAUCUCCAAGCAGUUGUGUUUAGAAUGGCAUUCUUAUUUUCUGUAAGCAUUUAAUUCAUAGAGAAUUGAAAUCACCUGGUUUGCUUCAGUAUUUAAAAGAGGCAAAGAUAACAUACUGCCUAUGUGGGAAAAAGAUUGGUAUGUUGGUAUUAGCUUUAAAUGUGAUCACUGAUGCUUAUUGGCUGUAGUUGUGGUUUCAGAAGUAGCAUGCUAACAGUCAUCAUAUAUUGGCUAAUUCUGAUGAAGACCAAAAGAAUUCCAAUGAGAGGCAUCAUGCUGAUUCUGAUGUGGAAAUGGAUGAUGCCAAGCCUCUGGAGGACUCUCAAAGGUGUUCUUUUUAUUUGGUUCCUUAGUCGUGGCCUCAUGACGUCUCUUUCAUCAGUCAAACUGAAGCACUUUUUGUCAGCUUGUCUUCGCUUUUUUUCUUCUCGGCCGAUUAUGCUCCAUGGUUGAGUCGUCAUAUCCUUAAUAGAUGUACCACUGCCUAUGAGGGUUCUGAACUCAAAUAAUAUAAUAUAUGUAUGUUUGAUCGAUGUGCAACUAAUAGAUCCUAAUGUUAUAGCAUAUA